rnacentral:rRNA from 1 species
GACAGAGGAGGCAAGCGUUAUCCGGAAUUAUUGGGCGUAAAGCGUCCGUGGGUGGUUUGGCAAGUCUGGGGUUAAAGCCCGGAGCCUAACUCCGGAUCGGCCCUGGAAACUGCCAGACUAGAGUAAGGUAGGGGUUGCGGGAAUUCCCGGUGUAGCGGUGAAAUGCGUAGAUAUCGGGAAGAACACCAGUGGCGAAAGCGAGCAACUGGGCCAUUACUGACACUGAGGGACGAAAGCUAGGGGAGCGAAGGGG